rnacentral:rRNA from 1 species
AACGAACGCUGGCGGCAGGCUUAACACAUGCAAGUCGAGCGCCCCGCAAGGGGAGCGGCAGACGGGUGAGUAACGCGUGGGAAUCUACCCAUCUCUACGGAACAACUCCGGGAAACUGGAGCUAAUACCGUAUACGUCCUUUUGGAGAAAGAUUUAUCGGAGAUGGAUGAGCCCGCGUUGGAUUAGCUAGUUGGUGGGGUAAUGGCCUACCAAGGCGACGAUCCAUAGCUGGUCUGAGAGGAUGAUCAGCCACACUGGGACUGAGACACGGCCCGGACUACUACGGGAGGCAGCAGUGGGGAAUAUUGGACAAUGGGCGAAAGCCUGAUCCAGCCAUGCCGCGUGAGUGAUGAAGGCCCUAGGGUUGUAAAGCUCUUUAAACGGUGAAGAUAAUGACGGUAACCGUAGAAGAAGCCCCGGCUAACUUCGUGCCAGCCGCCGCCGUAACAC